rnacentral:rRNA from 1 species
CCUACGGGUGGCAGCAGUAAGGAAUAUUGGUCAAUGGACGAAAGUCUGAACCAGCCAUGCCGCGUGGAGGAUGAAGGUCCUCUGGAUUGUAAACUUCUUUUAUAUGGGGCGAAAAACGGGUUUUCUAACUCACUUGACGGUACCAUAUGAAUAAGCACCGGCUAACUCCGUGCCAGCAGCCGCGGUAAUACGGAGGGUGCAAGCGUUAUCCGGAUUCACUGGGUUUAAAGGGUGCGUAGGUGGGUUGGUAAGUCAGUGGUGAAAUCCCCGAGCUUAACUUGGGAACUGCCAUUGAUACUAUCAGUCUUGAAUACCGUGGAGGUCAGCGGAAUAUGUCAUGUAGCGGUGAAAUGCUUAGAUAUGACAUAGAACACCAAUUGCGAAGGCAGCUGGCUACCCGAAUAUUGACACUGAGGCACGAAAGCGUGGGGAUCAAACAGGAUUAGAUACCCCAGUAGUC